rnacentral:rRNA from 2 species
UCCGUUGAUGACGUGCUUGCACUGAUUUUAACAAUGAAGCGAGUGGCGAACUGGUGAGUAACACGUGGGGAAUCUGCCCAGAAGCAGGGGAUAACACUUGGAAACAGGUGCUAAUACCGUAUAACAACAAAAUCCGCAUGGAUUUUGUUUGAAAGGUGGCUUCGGCUAUCACUUCUGGAUGAUCCCGCGGCGUAUUAGUUAGUUGGUGAGGUAAAGGCCCACCAAGACSAUGAUACSUARCCSACCUGARAGGGUAAUCGGCCACAUUGGGACUGARACACSGCCCAAACUCCUACGGGAGGGAGCAGUAGGGAAUCUUCCACAAUGGACGAAAGUCUGAUGGAGCAAUGCCGCGUGAGUGAAGAAGGGUUUCGGCU